UCAUUUGUAACCCAUCGAGCGGCCCUGCGUUGGACCAUCUCGAUCUUGUUUAUGUUGUGUUGUGUGUGUGGGCUCCACACUGAGCUACUAUACUCAAGUUGUGGGCGGACCAGGGUUUUGAAGGCAAAUUCUCUAAUGCGUGGGUGUUUUAUGGGAAUGUUUCGUUUGAUGAAGUUUAGUGUUUGACUGGCUGUUGCAGUAACCUGGUUUAUGUGUUUAUUCCAGCUGAGGUCAGAUGUGAUGCUAACACCCAAGUAUUUAGCAUCACUAACUGUUUCUAGAAUAUGACCGUGGAGUGUGUAAGUGGAUUUGUAGGGACGUUUUGACCUGGGGAUGUUCAUAACCGUACACAUGGAAGGAUUAAAUUCCAUAUCCCAAGUGUGUUCCCAUUUUUGUAGCCGAUCUAGAUCUUCUUGCAGGGUAUUUUGUUCAGUGGGAUUGUUGACCGUGAUGUAGACUUCUUAAGAUAUUCUACUGAUUGAAACUGUUGAGAAUGUUCUUACCUAAUGUUAAAAAAGCUUUCAAUUUUCCACAUAUUUGAAAUAUUUUAAUGAUUUCAUGAUGAAUAAUUAUCAUAUAUAAAAUAGAAAUAAUAAGUUAUGGUCUUAAAUUUACAAUUCUAAACUAUAAACAAAUAUAAUCCGAAAUAUUGAGUUAAGCUAUACCGUAAAUCUUUCAUUUAGUAUUAUUACAACAGAAAAUCAAAAGCUGUUUAUAAUAAAUAAGUUGUUCUCUUACACACAUAUCAAACACUUAUUUUCUUGAAUACAUGUGUUUGAUUUAUUACAGAUGUUAGAUCAACAAUCAACGAUGUCAAAGGUGUGGGUUUAGAAUUUCAAAAAAAGAUGCUAAUAUGGAACUGCCAAACAAUCUGAUCAGCACCAAACCUGCUGCAGCUGCAUCGGAAAACAAUACCUUCCUUAUAUGAUGUCAAUCACUUGCAGAUGACCAAGACCAUGUUAAGUUACGCCAGAAGGAAGUGAUAGCAUAAAUGCUGCCAGCGAAGUUCGCUUGGACAAGAUUACUUCCAUACCCGGACAGACCGUUCAUACGUACAUUGUCGGAAAGAUUAUUGUAACCCAAUUCGAAUCAAGCUAUCCUUAAAUAAAAAGCCAACAAAGACUGUAUUAUCUCCACCAUUACGAUCUAACACUGAACGAUUUAA